ACCAUGUUCGAUUUCCCCACCACUAAAUUUUUGGUUGCGCUAUGGUUCGUCGAAAUAUGUGGUGUGAUGUGAAAAACAGUUAUGGUAGGGUACGGUUAAUGUCAAGUCAUACGACGAAAUCUUUAUUUUUUUCACUGUUCGUCAUUAUUUUAAGUGCACACUGGUCAACUUCAUGAAUAACUCAGCUUAAAUAUUCUUUUUUUUUCUAAUAAACAAGUGAUUUAUUAUGGAAACUACAAGGUUACCUUCAAACCUGUCCCAUCAGCAUUUGAUGGCUGGUGAAGAGAAUGAAACUCCCUUGGCAGUUCCCACAAAACGGAAUUCGCCGGUUCAGAGGGUCAUCACAGUUCGAGAAUGGUUAACUGUCAUAGUUUUGUGUUAUGUCAACUUAAUCAACUAUAUGGACAGAUUUACAAUAGCUGGAAUUUUGACAGAUAUUAAAGAUGAAUUCAAGAUUGGGAAUGAUGAUGGUGGUUUACUACAAACAGUGUUUAUUAUCAGUUACAUGAUUUUUGCACCUUUAUUUGGGUACCUUGGUGAUAGAUAUAAUCGAAAACUCAUCAUGAGUUUUGGAGUAUUCCUUUGGUGCCUUACUACCUUCAUUGGCUCUUAUAUGAGGACGUUUGGAUGGUUUCUCGUUUUUCGAACGUUUGUAGGUAUCGGCGAAGCCAGUUACUCAACGAUAGCUCCAACGAUCAUAAGUGAUUUAUUUGUUAAAGAUGUGCGGUCGAAAAUGCUUGCCCUAUUCUAUUUUGCCAUACCGGUUGGAAGUGGCUUGGGAUAUAUAACAGGUAGUGAAACGGCGCGAAUAGCUGGUUCCUGGCAUUGGGGAUUGAGAGUCACACCGGUACUCGGAGUGCUGGCCGUUUUUCUACUUCUAGUUGUGGUUCAAGAUCCAGUUAGAGGUGAAAGAGAAGGUGGAGGCCACAUUCACAGCACAUCAUGGUCUGAUGAUAUCAAAUCAUUGUGCAAAAAUCCAAGCUUCAUGCUCUCCACUGCAGGAUUUACCUGCGUCUCGUUUGUUGCUGGAGCAUUGGCAUGGUGGGGGCCUACGUUUAUACAUUUAGGUUUCCAAUUGCAGCCUAACGGCGAAAAUACCACGUUAAACGAUGUUUCCUACAAAUUUGGCUUGAUAGCCAUGGUAGCUGGCGUGAUAGGAGUUCCGCUUGGCUCGUAUUUGGCACAACGACUGAGGGUAGCUUGUCCACAAGCUGAUCCACUGAUAUGUGCUGUUGGUUUAAUUUUGAGUGCUCCUUUGCUCUUCUUUGCAGCUAUAGCUGCCAGCAAAAACUCAGUUGUUUGUUAUGUCCUUAUAUUUUUUGGGCAACUUGCGUUGAAUCUCAAUUGGUCGAUUGUAGCGGAUAUGUUGUUGUAUGUUGUCAUCCCAACCAGAAGAUCGACUGCUGAAGCCUUCCAAAUUUUAGUAGCUCACGCGUUAGGAGAUGCAGGAAGUCCGUACAUCGUCGGUGUGAUUUCCGAAGCAUUGAAAGCGGCGUUGUCACCAGACACAAAUAUACAUAAGCCACUGCCCAGUCAAAAUUCUACCAUAGAUGAUCCACUCACUAUGUUUCGUAGUCUACAAUAUUCGCUGUUCUUAACAACAUUUAUCGAAGUCAUCGGUGGACUAUUCUUCUUCAUCACAGCUCUUUAUAUACAGAGAGACAAGGCUAUAGUUGAUCUGUCAAUCGCAGGUGAGUACGUCAAACCUUCAUACAUUGGAUAUCAUAUUGUUGAUUGAAUUACUUUGACAUCUUCGAGAAUCACUUAUCUUCAAAUUUAUGCGUUAUGAAAAUAGAAUCUAGGACCAGAUUAUUGCUCUAUCAAUACUUCAGACCUUUAAGCUAUUAGUUGAACUGCCAAAAAAGUACUUCAUGUACAGUUUCAGGUUGAGAUAUGUGUGAUAUAUGUUAACAAUUUGAGUACUUGAGUGAGCGUUUACUUCUAAUUCUAUUUCCUCUAUGAAUGGCGUUUUUACAAACUGUAUAACAAACUUAUCGCCAAUUAAUACACGCUAUAAUUCUGGGCUACUGCAAGAGCCUGCACGAAUUCUGGUUGACUAUUUACAUUGAAAUCCGAUCAAAAAAAUGAGUGCUAAAAGUUCGGAAAACUGACGGGUAUUAUUACAAGCUUCGAUACUUGAAAUCGACUCUAACAAUAAGUCACGCACCGUUGACCACGCUUCGAUUCUCACUCACAAGCUUGCAGAAUUAAGAUCAUGCACUCCGUUCUUUUUUUCUACACAAUGUUCGAAUCGUCGAGAUCGUUCUUUAGAAAUAUCCAUGCUGCAUAAUAUAUGAAAUUGAAGUCCUGAAUAAUAUUCUUGUGUGUAACUGCUGACCCGUGUUUGACAUGCGAAUAGAGUAGUACCGAAUAUAUACAAUAAGAAUUUCCAAGUUAUUCGUUUGCCAUAGUUCUACUUUUCUAAACCAAAAACUGUCUUUGGUGUGCUUCCUAAAUGUCUACCAUGAAAAAAGCCCACAGACUUUUCCACCUCCCGAUUUACAAUCAUCUGAAUAAGUUGGAAUAUGAAAUAAAUUACUUGUUUUGUUAUAAUUUCAAUUUAUCAUGUCAGGAAUAAAAAGGAGAACCACUGUUUGUCCGCAUUGAAUUUCAUUUUUAUCUUUGCAUUUAAUUAGCAUACGUCUCGUUUUUUGUUAAACAUUAAUUUGUUUUUGCACAGUACACGAACUGGUUGCAAGUUUGCAGUUAUCAAAAUCUCACACAGCUGUCUGACACAGGUAGAGUUACAGUGCUAUAUACAUAUGUACACGUAUAAUACACGUACAUAAUUUUUUUUCCUCUUCUGUUUUUUAGUAUUUAACACGUCAAGCGCCAUACCCCCUCUCAGAUAUUAAAACUUGACUAUUCAGCAUAUUAUACAAUUUGUAACGAUAUUAGCCAGCGGAAUACCUAAUUUGCAUUUGCUUCUGUUACGUAAUUUAAACCGUAUAUCACUUCAUGAUUUUAUUUUUAGCCUACACUGCUAUGUUCCCAAUUGUAUUUAUAUUAUCAAUACCUACAUUCUAAAAGUAGCAGUCCGUUCUCAACCGAACAUGCGUACACCAGGCCUUGACCUACAAGAAAAAAAUCUAGACACUAAGAAUAAUGGGCAGGCAGAAUCAACGCGUUUAUAGAUCAUCAGAAGGCCCCCCCCC
rnacentral:misc_RNA from 1 species